CCUACGGGGCGCAGCAGUGGGGAAUAUUGGGCAAUGGGCGCAAGCCUGACCCAGCAACGCCGCGCGAAGGAAGAAGGCUUUCGGGUUGUAAACUUCUUUUCUCAGGGACGAAGAAAGUGACGGUACCUGAGGAAUAAGCCACGGCUAACUACGUGCCAGCAGCCGCGGUAAUACGUAGGUGGCAAGCGUUAUCCGGAUUUACUGGGUGUAAAGGGCGUGUAGGCGGGAAAGCAAGUCAGAUGUGAAAACCAUGGGCUCAACCUGUGGGCUGCAUUUGAAACUGUGUUUCUUGAGUACUGGAGAGG
rnacentral:rRNA from 1 species